rnacentral:rRNA from 1 species
CAGCAGCCGCGGUAAUACGAAGGGUGCAAGCGUUAAUCGGAAUUACUGGGCGUAAAGCGUGCGUAGGCGGUUCGUUAAGUCUGUUGUGAAAGCCCCGGGCUCAACCUGGGAAUGGCAAUGGAUACUGGCGAGCUAGAGUGUGUCAGAGGAUGGUGGAAUUCCCGGUGUAGCGGUGAAAUGCGUAGAGAUCGGGAGGAACAUCAGUGGCGAAGGCGGCCAUCUGGGACAACACUGACGCUGAGGCACGAAAGCGUGGGGAGCAAACAGGAUUAGAUACCCCGGUAGUCCCUGUCUCUUAUAC